AUACAUGCAGUCGAGCGAAUCUGAGGGAGCUUGCUCCCGAGGUUAGCGGCGGACGGGUGAGUAACACGUGGGCAACCUGCCUGUAAGACUGGGAUAACUUCGGGAAACCGGAGCUAAUACCGGAUAAUUCUUUUCUGCUCAUGCAGGAAAGCUGAAAGAUGGCUUCGGCUAUCACUUACAGAUGGGCCCGCGGCGCAUUAGCUAGUUGGUGAGGUAACGGCUCACCAAGGCAACGAUGCGUAGCCGACCUGAGAGGGUGAUCGGCCACACUGGGACUGAGACACGGCCCAGACUCCUACGGGAGGCAGCAGUAGGGAAUCUUCCGCAAUGGACGAAAGUCUGACGGAGCAACGCCGCGUGAGUGAUGAAGGUUUUCGGAUCGUAAAACUCUGUUGUUAGGGAAGAACAAGUACCGUUCGAAUAGGGCGGUACCUUGACGGUACCUAACCAGAAAGCCACGGCUAACUACGUGCCAGCAGCCGCGGUAAUACGUAGGUGGCAAGCGUUGUCCGGAAUUAUUGGGCGUAAAGCGCGCGCAGGCGGUCCUUUAAGUCUGAUGUGAAAGCCCACGGCUCAACCGUGGAGGGUCAUUGGAAACUGGGGGACUUGAGUGCAGAAGAGGAGAGUGGAAUUCCACGUGUAGCGGUGAAAUGCGUAGAGAUGUGGAGGAACACCAGUGGCGAAGGCGACUCUCUGGUCUGUAACUGACGCUGAGGCGCGAAAGCGUGGGGAGCGAACAGGAUUAGAUACCCUGGUAGUCCACGCCGUAAACGAUGAGUGCUAAGUGUUAGAGGGUUUCCGCCCUUUAGUGCUGCAGCAAACGCAUUAAGCACUCCGCCUGGGGAGUACGGCCGCAAGGCUGAAACUCAAAGGAAUUGACGGGGGCCCGCACAAGCGGUGGAGCAUGUGGUUUAAUUCGAAGCAACGCGAAGAACCUUACCAGGUCUUGACAUCCUCUGACAAUCCUAGAGAUAGGACUUUCCCCUUCGGGGGACAGAGUGACAGGUGGUGCAUGGUUGUCGUCAGCUCGUGUCGUGAGAUGUUGGGUUAAGUCCCGCAACGAGCGCAACCCUUGAUCUUAGUUGCCAGCAUUCAGUUGGGCACUCUAAGGUGACUGCCGGUGACAAACCGGAGGAAGGUGGGGAUGACGUCAAAUCAUCAUGCCCCUUAUGACCUGGGCUACACACGUGCUACAAUGGAUGGUACAAAGGGCUGCAAGACCGCGAGGUUUAGCCAAUCCCAUAAAACCAUUCUCAGUUCGGAUUGCAGGCUGCAACUCGCCUGCAUGAAGCCGGAAUCGCUAGUAAUCGCGGAUCAGCAUGCCGCGGUGAAUACGUUCCCGGGCCUUGUACACACCGCCCGUCACACCACGAGAGUUUGUAACACCCGAAGUCGGUGGGGUAACCGUAAGGAGCCAGCCGCCU
rnacentral:rRNA from 2 species